GAGACCCACUCUCCUAAGGCGAAACAUUCAUCCUUACGGAAAUUGAGUUUGAUACUUCACCCUUUAGUGGCUGGGGGAAGACAACAAAUAGAAGAAAUGACUUCUCGAUUCAUGGCUCCUUGUUCAGUCCAAUAUACAGAAGUCUCUGACCCAGCUACCAAACACUUGCUGCAAUUUCCAGCAACAUGGAAUUGUGAACUUGAAUUUUAUGAUUUGGUAUAAAUAAAAAGUAAGAAAAUAAAUGGAUGCAAAGCUCAAACUUCACAUGGAGCCAGCUGCACCGUGGUGCAUGUGGGGUCUUAGUUUCCCCAUCAGGGAUCUAACUUGCACCCUCUGCUUGGGAGCAUGGAGUCUUAACCCCUGGACCACCAGAAAUAAGAAGAAAUUCAUAAACACCCCCUGCCACCCGUCACAGAGAUCCACCAUUGUUAACACCUCAGUAUCUGUACUUUAAGAGAUUUUCCUACGCUAUUAUGUGUAUGUGUGUGUGUGUACUUUUU